CCUACGGGAGGCAGCAGUGGGGAAUAUUGGACAAUGGGGGCAACCCUGAUCCAGCCAUGCCGCGUGUGUGAAGAAGGCCCUCGGGUUGUAAAGCACUUUCAGUGAGGAAGAACGCCUGGUGGUUAAUACCCAUCAGGAAAGACAUCACUCACAGAAGAAGCACCGGCUAACUCCGUGCCAGCAGCCGCGGUAAUACGGAGGGGGCGAGCGUUAAUCGGAAUUACUGGGCGUAAAGCGCGCGUAGGUGGCUUGAUAAGCCGGUUGUGAAAGCCCCGGGCUCAACCUGGGAACGGCAUCCGGAACUGUCAAGCUAGAGUGCAGGAGAGGAAGGUAGAAUUCCCGGUGUAGCGGUGAAAUGCGUAGAGAUCGGGAGGAAUACCAGUGGCGAAGGCGGCCUUCUGGACUGACACUGACACUGAGGUGCGAAAGCGUGGGUAGCAAACAGGAUUAGAUACCCUGGUAGUC
rnacentral:rRNA from 1 species